GCUCCCGUGGCCCAAUUGGCAGAGGCAGGCGGCUUAAAACCGCCGUGUUGUGGGUUCGAGUCCCACCGGGGGCACCA
rnacentral:tRNA from 1 species